GGGUCAAUAAGACGUCAGACUGCCUCAAAUGGAGAUGAUGUCUUAAAAAUUAUGUUCAAUAGAAUGAUUCUGAGGCCC
ensembl:snoRNA SNORD115 Small nucleolar RNA SNORD115